AGAGUUUGAUCCUGGCUCAGGAUGAACGCUGGCGGCGUGCCUAACACAUGCAAGUCGAACGGGGUAUAUAAGCGGAAGUUUACGGAUGGAAGGUUAUAUACUUAGUGGCGGACGGGUGAGUAACGCGUGGGCAACCUGCCCCGUGCCGGGGGAUACCGCCUGGAAACAGGCGCUAAUACCGCAUAAGCGCAUACAGCCGCAUGGGUGUAUGCAGAAAGCUCCGGCGGCACGGGAUGGGCCCGCGCCCGAUUAGCCAGUUGGCGGGGUAACGGCCCACCAAAGCGACGAUCGGUAGCCGGCCUGAGAGGGCGGACGGCCACAUUGGGACUGAGACACGGCCCAAACUCCUACGGGAGGCAGCAGUGGGGAAUAUUGCACAAUGGGGGAAACCCUGAUGCAGCAACGCCGCGUGGGUGAAGGAGCGUUUCGGCGCGUAAAGCCCUGUCAGCGGGGAAGAAGAAAGACGGUACCCGACCAAGAAGCUCCGGCUAACUACGUGCCAGCAGCCGCGGUAAUACGUAGGGGGCGAGCGUUAUCCGGAUUCAUUGGGCGUAAAGCGCGCGUAGGCGGCCGCCUAAGCGGAACCUCUAACCCCGGGGCUCAACCUCGGGCCGGGUUCCGGACUGGGCGGCUCGAGUGCGGUAGAGGAGAGCGGAAUUCCCGGUGUAGCGGUGGAAUGCGCAGAUAUCGGGAAGAACACCGAUGGCGAAGGCAGCUCUCUGGGCCGUCACUGACGCUGAGGCGCGAAAGCUGGGGGAGCGAACAGGAUUAGAUACCCUGGUAGUCCCAGCCGUAAACGAUGGACGCUAGGUGUGGGGGGACCUGCCCUCCGUGCGGCAGCCAACGCAUUAAGCGUCCCGCCUGGGGAGUACGGCCGCAAGGCUAAAACUCAAAGGAAUUGACGGGGGCCCGCACAAGCAGCGGAGCAUGUGGCUUAAUUCGAAGCAACGCGAAGAACCUUACCAGGGCUUGACAUGCGAGUGAAGCCGGGGAGACCCGGUGGCCGAGAGGAGCUCGCGCAGGUGGUGCAUGGCUGUCGUCAGCUCGUGUCGUGAGAUGUUGGGUUAAGUCCCGCAACGAGCGCAACCCCCGUCCCGCGUUGCCAGCAUUAGGUUGGGGACUCGCGGGAGACUGCCGGCGUCAAGCCGGAGGAGGGUGGGGACGACGUCAAGUCAUCAUGCCCCUUAUGCCCUGGGCUGCACACGUGCUACAAUGGCCGGUACAGAGGGUUGCCACCCCGCGAGGGGGAGCGGAUCCCGGAAAGCCGGCCCCAGUUCGGAUCGCAGGCUGCAACCCGCCUGCGUGAAGCCGGAGUUGCUAGUAAUCGCGGAUCAGCACGCCGCGGUGAAUACGUUCCCGGGCCUUGCACACACCGCCCGUCA
rnacentral:rRNA from 1 species